rnacentral:rRNA from 1 species
UACGAAGGGGGCUAGCGUUGCUCGGAAUCACUGGGCGUAAAGCGCACGUAGGCGGCUUCUCAAGUCAGGGGUGAAAUCCUGGAGCUCAACUCCAGAACUGCCUUUGAUACUGAGGAGCUCGAGUCCGGGAGAGGUGAGUGGAACUGCGAGUGUAGAGGUGAAAUUCAUAGAUAUUCGCAAGAACACCAGUGGCGAAGGCGGCUCACUGGCCCGGUACUGACGCUGAGGUGCGAAAGCGUGGGGAGCAAACAGG